UAAAGAACUUAGACUUGUUGACGGGUGCAGAUAUAAAGGAGCGCGCGGGACUCGCUCGUCAGUGUGGAGCGGGUCGCGCGCAGACUUGCUCGUGCUCAGACAGACCGAUCCUUGAGAAUAAAAUAAACAAGCGGAGUUAUAAAUGAAAUAACACAAUAAAAUAGAAUAGAGAGUGAGAGAGAGGGUAUUAGCGAUGGAAUCCGCUGCAGUGAACUUUCAAUUCUCAUGCACAAGCUGGAAACUCUGAAGCGAAAAAUACCUGGGUAAAAAUAGCCUGCUGUGCUCGUGGUGUCUGUGGCUCUGAUGCUCCGGAUCGUCGCUGAUUUCCAGCCCAUUACCGGUGUGUGUGUGUCAGAUGAGCUCAUCAUGGGUGAAGCAUUCACACACACGCAGCGCUGCGGGAAACAUCUGCGACUUCUGCUCUUCAUCCUGCUGCCAUGUGUGUGCGGCCUCAUCUGUGUGUGUGUGCUGCUGCUGGCGCUCACAGGUAACACACACACACACACACACCCUUCAGCCUGCUCUCAGUCUGGACACAUGGAGUGAUGAGACAAACAAGUGUUAAAUAACAGUUGUGACACACACACACAUCUGCUGUCUCUGUGUGUGCUGAUGGUGUGUGUGAGAUGAUUGGAGCAUCUUCGCUCCGCUCUCAUGGCAUUUGUUCGUGUAUCUGUCUAAUUUUCAGACUGUUAUAUAUAUUUUGUCUCCUGCCAAAUGAGUCACACCAUGAUGUUCACUGUCAUAGAAAGAGUCUCUGAAAAAGAGAAAUCUGCAGCGAUGUAACACACACGUCUGUGCAGUGUGUGUGUGGGUUUCUACAGGUCUGUCCUUCAUAAUAUCCAGUUAAACACUAAUGAGCCGGACCUCUCUAGUUCUCAAUCAAUCACAUCACGUUUGUACUGAAAUCUAGUGAUUUACACAGGUUUCUGAGAGGGUUUAGUUAGGUGUGUGAGUGUGUG